GGGUCAGUAGGUUGGUCGUGCCACCGGUACGUACUGGUCUCACUGAUUCCUCCUUCCUGAAGAACCGUAAUGCCAUUAAUUUGGUGUUGCGGGGAAACAGGACUGUUACUUUGAAAAAAUUAGAGUGUUUAAAGCAAGCUAACGCUUGAAUACAUUAGCGUGGAAUAAUGAAAUAGGACGAUCGAUCCUAUUUUGUUGGUUUCUAGGAUUGACGUA
rnacentral:rRNA from 1 species